UCCCUCGCCCCCUGCUGUCCGGCCGCCGCCCACCUGCGCCCGCCCUGCCCGCCCUCGCCCUCGUCCUCGCCCCCGGCCCGCGCUCCCCUCACGGGCGCGUCCUCCUGCUCUGCGGGGAACGGCUGCACGAGGAAACCGGGCGCGGGCAAGGGCUGACAGGGGACGAGGUGGCCCCUUCCCCCUGGCGAGGGGCGGGGGAGAGGUCUCCCGUUUCGGCCACCAGGGAAGGCCCCCCUCGGCCCUGCCGGAGCGCCACGGGGACGCUGCUGAGUGCGCGGGGUCCCGGCCUGUGGGGCGCAGGACACCCCGCACUGGCAGCACAGCACCUUUGGGACUGGAGUGGCACCCCACUGCAAAAAUCAGUCCACAUAGGACAGUGCUUGUUGCCUCCCGGCAGCAGGGUCAGGGAUUGCCCUGGGUUGUGUCACUCAUGCUGCUGGGCAGCUCCACCCACGUGGACUUUGGCAGAACUGUCCCCUCUGGCCAGACUAGUCCCUGCAUCCUCCAGGACCGGCUUCUCUUGUGCUGUUCUCUGCAGCCUCUGGGAUGGGAUACAGGACAUGCCAGACUGUACUGUGAAGGGGCUGCUAUGGGUAGGGGAUGAGAUCUGUGUUGCUCCUUCCCACUCACAGCACCUGUCAAAGGAUCUGGGGGCGCCCCAGGGGUCCCUGGCAGCCUGGCUUGAGAAUCACUGUUUUAGUGCGUGAGAGCCAUAAAAUGUAACCGCCUCUUUUAUUUCAGUGUAAAGCUGAGUUGCUAAAAAGAAACAGCACAAGUUGCUAAAAGAGGUUAUCUGUAUUUUCAAAUUUUUCAAAAUAAGCAAGGUCUUAUAAGUAAAACUGAAAAAGAUUUCUUAAAAAUAUGAUUUGCUUUGACUUUAAAAAGUCAUUCUUCUUUCCUUUUGCCUCACCUUGUGUAAAAUGUUUCCCCCUCCGGUGGCCCUCCCCACCCCCCCCUCACCCCAAAUUGGGCCAGUAUUUCCUUUUCCCACCAGAGUAAUGACAGAGUAAAUCAAAACUGCAGGACUUCAGUGAGCUUCUUUGCUUUCAAAUUAUAAACAGAAUUGGACAGGAGACGGUUAUAAAUUUGUAACAUCUCAUUGUAAAAUAGAGCAGCAGUAGUAUAAAUAUUGAUAUUAAGAAGUUCAAAUUUGUCCAUGCUUAACUGUUCAGCCACUUAUAGUUUAUACAAGUGUGUCAGUGGUUCCUCACAUCAGUCUACAUAUUUUCUUCUGUAAUAGUGACUCUAGUACAUGACGACAACUGAUCCUCAUCACAGAUGACAUCUGAUCCUCAUCACAGUUACAGUACUUCUCUGAUUUUGACAGGUCUCCUAGGAGUGUCCUGACCCUGGAUUAGGUCUACCUGUGCCUAAUUGCAUUUUUGGCUGCAGACAUCUGAGUGUCAAGAUAUAAACCCAGGAGUCCUCAAGUUAUAUUGCUGUUUGGAUUCUUCCAGCAGACAGACCUCCCAGGAAGGACACACAGCAGAGGAAUGGCAGAAGAUGACCACCAGAACCAGGACUGUUUGGGCUAGCAUGGUGGCGGCUCCCCAGGUACAACUGGGGAACAGAUUCGAGGACUUGGUAGCCUUGGAGGAGAAAGUCAAAGUGGAUGCCUCCGGGGGAUAUGGUGCCACUCUAUGCAUGGCAUGGUCCAAGCAAGGACAGAACACCACAAGGAAGAAACGCCGAGUCUUCGUCAUCGGAGACUCCAUCCUGAGGGAAACGGAGGGUCCCAUCUGCCAACCCGACCCCAUGGCAUGUGAGGUCUGCUGCCUGCCUGGGGAUCGGAUUCAGGAUGUUACAGGCAUGAUCCCAGACCUCAUUUGACCCUCGGCCCAGUACCCCAUGGUCCUAAUCUAUGUGUGAAUAAAUGACGCGGCGGAGAGCAGUCCAGAUCACAUCAUGAAGGACUACGAGGCCCUGGGGGCCAAGCUGAAGGAGAUGGGGGCGCACGUGGUAUUCUCUGUUCUCCCGGUUGGCUGAUCUUAUACAGUGUGCUUGAAACUAGCUUCGCCAGGGGAUGGGGCCACAGGGAGACACAAGGACACUUUCCAGCCAAGACAGGUGAUAAGCACAAGAAGUACCCAGGUGAGUGACAGGGGUCCAGAUAGUCCUGGGAUCGGGGGGAGGGGCAUGCACCCAUAGGAGGCCUUAAAUGCCUCUACACUAAUGCUCAUAGUAUGGGGAACAAGCAGGAGGAACUUGCCCUCCUGCUUGCUAACACAAACCCGGACAUAGUGGGGCUCACUGAAACCUGGUGGAAUUCAACCCAUGACUGGGCAGUAAACAUCAAGGACUACAGGCUGUUCAGGUGGGAUAUAACGGGGAGGAAAAGUGGGAGUAUGGCACUCUACAUCAAAGAGCAAUACACGUCCUCAACAAACAGCAUGGGGUCAGAGGAGGAGCAGACUGAAGUGCUCUGGGUUAGAAUACAUGGGGGUCGGGGGGAAAGGGAAUUAACGGUGAGUGUCUACUAUCAACCACACAACCAGGGGGAAGAGCUGGACCGGGAAUUCUCAGGUCAGCUUGCAGAGACAGUUAGGUCAAGGGACGAGGUCAUCAUGGGUGACUUAAACUACCCGGACAUCUGCUGGCAGGAGCAGUCAGCCAGGUCUGACUGCUCACGUAGGUUUCUAGCUGAGAUACAGGACCUCCAUCUAGCCCAGGAGGUGCACAGUCCCACCAGGGGAAAUGCCUUGCUGGACCUGGUUCUGACUACAGGCAAUGACCUGGUGAGGGGACUGUGGGUUCUCAACCACCUGGGCAAUAACAGUCAUCACAUACUGGAAUUCAUCAUCCAACACAGGGUGUCAAAAGCCCAAAGGCCGGCAGCAAGGCAGCAGCCCUUGACUUCAGGAGGGCUGAUUUCAAUGGGUUAAGGGGAGGCACUGAGGUCCCAGAGGGUAGGGGAGUUAGGAAUUCAAGAUGAGUGGUCAUUCCUUAAGGAGACAAUCCUCCGAGCCCAAAGGGUGACAGUCUCAACAUGAGUCAAAGGGGGCAAGAGUGCUCAAAAGCCCCCAUGGCUCACCAAGGGCAUUCAGGAACGUCUGAAAGCUAAAAAGGAGGUAUACAUCCGAUGGAAGGGAGGGGUCAUCACCCAGAAGGAUUAUACCUCCAUUGCUCGAGACUGUAGUGGGGCUGUCAGAAAGGCUAAGGCGGAGACAGAACUAGGACUAGUGGCCAGGAUCAAAGAUAACAAGAAGUCCUUUUUUAAAUACAUAGGGAGUAAAAAAGCACCGAGUAACAUGGGGCCCCUUCAGGACACGCAUGGCAAUCUGGUGGCUGCACCAGACGAUAAAACUAACCUCUUUAACAAAUUCUUUGCCUCCAUUUUUCUGAGCAGGAACCAAGACACCCCCUCAUCAGGAUUCCAGACAGACUCAGGAGAGGCACAGCCAGACUCAGGGUCAGAGAUGAUCUAGUUAGGGAACUUCUGGUGGGCUGGACGUGUUCAAAUCAGCAGGUCCGGAUGAUCUUUACCCCAGGGUGCUGAGGGAAUUGGCAGAGGUCAUUGCAGGACCCCUGGCACGGCUUUAUGAGCGCUCAUGGUGCUCUGGCCUUGUGCCAGAGGACUGGAAAAGGGCCAAUGUGGUCCACAUUUUCAAAAAGGAGAGGACCCAGGAAACUAUAGGCCCAUUAGUCUUACCUCGGUCCAGGGGAAACUCUUUGAGAAAAUUAUCCAGGAGCAAAUCUGCGAGGGACCAGCAGGGGAGAUUAUGCUUAGGGGCAACCAACAUAGGUUCAUUAGGGGCAGAUCCUGUCAAACCAACCUGGUUGCCUUCUACAACCAGGUCACAAAAUCCUUAGAUGCAGGUGUCAUGGUGGACGUAGUCUUUCUGGACUUUAGGAAGGCCUUUGACACUGUCUCUCACCCCAUUCUCAUUACAAAAUUAGGCGACUGUGGCGUCAAUGCCUACGCAGUCAGAUGGGUUGCAAAUUGGCUGGAGGGCCACACCCAGAGAGUGGUGGUGGACAGGUUAUUUUCAGCUUGGAGGGACGUGGGCAGUGGGGUCCCCCAGGGCUCGGUCCUUGGGCCUGCACUGUUUAACAUCUUCAUCAGCAGCUUGGACGAGGGGGUGAAAAGCACCUUGUUCAAAUUCCUGGAUGACACUAAGAUAUGGGGAGAGGUGGGCAUGCUAGAAGGGAGGGACAGGCUACAACUAGAUCUGGACAGGUUACAGGGUGGGCGGAUGAGAACAGGAUGGGUUUCAAUACUGACAAGUACAAGGUACUGUACCUAGAGAGAAAGAAUCAGCAGCAUACCUAUAGGCUGGGGAACUCCUUCUCAUCAGCAAAGAGGGAGAAAAGGAUCUUGGAGUCAUCAUUGAUUCCAAGAUGAACAUGGGCCGCCAAUGUGAGGAAGCGGUCAGUAAAGCUAACUGCACCUUGUCAUGCAUCCACAGAAGCAUCACGAGCAGGUGCAAGGAGGUCGUCCUCCCCCUUUAUGUGACACUGGUCAGGCCGCAGUUGGAGUACUGUGUCCAGUUCUGGGCACCGCACUUCAGGAGGGAUGUGGACAGCAUUGAGAGGGUCCAGAGGAGGGCCACUCGCACAGUCAAGGGGCAGCAGGGUAGGCCCUAUGAAGAGAGGCUACAGGACCUGAACCUGUUCAGCCUCCACAAGAGAAGGCUGAGAGGGGAUCUGGUGGCCGUCUAUAAACUUACCCGGGGGGGGCCUGCAAGGAACGGGAGAGUCCCUGUUCCCCUGAGCACUACCAGGAUUAACUAGGAAUAAUGGCCAUAAGUUGACUGAGAGUAGGUUCAGGCUAGAUAUCAGGAAACACUAGUUCACAGUCGGGGCGGCUAGGAUCUGGAAACAACUUCCAAGGGAAGUGGUGCUGGCUCCUACCCUGGGGGUCUUCAAAAGGAGGCUAGAUAAUCACCUAGCUGGGGUCAUUUGACCCCAGCAUUCCUUCCUGCCCAUGGCAGGGGGUUGGACGUGAUGAUCUGCUCAGGUCCUUUCCGACCCUACCAACUAUGAAACAACACUGAAUCAAAAAGACUACACAUUUUCUAGUAGAAACUAGGAAUGUGUAGCCACAGGCUUUCCACUAGAGGGCACUAAGUGAUUUUAAACAUUAAGGUUAUCAGAGCAACAAAAGUAAAUUAUAUGAAUUAAGUUCUGUGUUAAGCAGGGAAAUAUCAUGAGUGUAAUAAAAGUUUGUAUUCACAAAAAUAUUUUCACAUGUAUUUAUUAAUGUAGAAUGUUACCUUUUUAGAAAAUGCAAAUGCUUGUAAAAAUCCAGUUGUGAAUAUUUCAUUUUUAUGAAACUGGAGUAAACUGGAGACAUCUGAAAUGGAGACAUUAUAAAUGCCAUAUGUAAUGCAACUACCCGAGGAAAAAAACACUGAUGUUCAUAUUUGAACAUAAAAUAGCAACAGCCUAAAUCAAAGCCAAGCUGGCAACAUUACAUAUACAUAUCUAUACCAAAAUAAGCUUGAAGUUCAUCUUUUACCUUUGUUAAAAAUCUUGGUCAGGCUCCUAGUGUGAUCCAAUGACGAUGUCUGAAAAUCUCGCACCUCUGCAUUUGUUACUGCCUUGGAAUGGUUAUCACAUUUUAAGCUGAGGCUUCUAAGACUUGUGGGGGAAAGCAGCAUGACCUUAUGAUUAGACCACCAAACCCGUGUCAAGAGCUCAGUUUUAUUCCUGGCUCUGCUGCAGAUUCUGUUAAUUUGUACAGCUCAUUUUAUCUCUCUGUCUUAAUUCUUCAUCUAUAAAUCUGGGGUAGCAAUACUUCACUGUCACACAGGGGCAACAUAGUGGGUGCAUCUACACGAGAUGUUUACUGUGGAGUUGACUAAUUAGCUCCAGCAGUAAGCGUCUUGCGUCUACACGCGUGGCCUUAUUAGGCUGUAGGAAACUA